rnacentral:misc_RNA from 1 species
UUUCCGUAGGUGAACCUGCGGAAGGAUCAUUAUUGAAUGAAACACUUCUGGCUUUAUGCUGUUGUGCUGGCCCUUUGGGCAAUGUGCACACGGCUCUGGUCACUUGUUUCUUCUGUUCACCUGUGCACUGCCUGUAGACACGCUGUGUCUAUGAUAUUUGUUAACACACAACAAUGUUAGUUGGCAUGUUAUAUAUAAUAAUAAAAUAUACAACUUUCAACAACGGAUCUCUUGGCUCUC